GACGAACCGUGCGAACGUUGUUCGGAUUCACUGGGCUUAAAGGGCGCGUAGGCGGCCCCCCAAGUCCGGGGUGAAAUCCCGCGGCCCAACCGCGGAAUUGCCUGGGAUACUGGGGGGCUCGAGGGGGUAGGGGUCGGCGGAACUUCCGGUGGAGCGGUGAAAUGCGUAGAGAUCGGAAGGAACGCCGGUGGCGAAAGCGGCCGACUGGGCCCCUUCUGACGCUGAGGCGCGAAAGCCAGGGGAGCGAACGGG
rnacentral:rRNA from 1 species